rnacentral:rRNA from 1 species
AGGCGCGUCGGAGAGGGUGAGAGCCCCGUGCGCGACGCCGCCCGGCCGGGCUGCCGCUGUCUUCGGAGAGUCGGGUUGUUUGGGAAUGCAGCCCAAAGUGGGUGGUAAACUCCAUCUAAAGCUAAAUACCGGCACGAGACCGAUAGCGAACAAGUACCGUGAGGGAAAGGUGAAAAGUACUUUGAAAAGAGAGUCAAAAAGACCGCGAAACCGUUAGGAGGGAAACGAAUGCAGCUGAAGCGGCUCCCCGUCAGGCUCAGGAGGAGGCGCGUGGGUUCCCGGGGUGCGGGCGGAGGCCUGAAGAGGCUCCGGUUCGUCUUCGGGUGCGGGCCCGCCGUCCACUCUGCACUUCUGCGGGGAGCCGGCCAACGGCAGUUGCCCCCGGCUCUUACGAGGCGCUUCGGGGGAGGUGGCCCUGCGCUCCGGCGCGGGGAGCGUACAGCCCCGGCGCCCGGCAGUCCGGGCGAGUUUUCGAUCUCGGAAAAAGAUGGCGACUGAGGAGAGACGUUGCGGUCCCUCGCACGUCGCGGCGCGGGCCUUUCUCGUUUCCCACCUCUCGGGGCGGGUUUCGGAAGGGCUGGGCCCCUCUCUUUGGGUUGGCGGCCGAGGCGGCCACUGCUCGUCAGUGGCCGUCGACGGUUUUCGCGUCGAUUCCGGAGGGAGGUCGGUCACACCUCGCGCCGCGGUCGUUGGCGUCCGAUUGGCUGCAUC